rnacentral:rRNA from 1 species
CAGUAGCCGCGGUAAUACGUAGGUCCCGAGCGUUGUCCGGAUUUAUUGGGCGUAAAGCGAGCGCAGGCGGUUUGAUAAGUCUGAAGUUAAAGGCUGUGGCUCAACCAUAGUUCGCUUUGGAAACUGUCAAACUUGAGUGCAGAAGGGGAGAGUGGAAUUCCAUGUGUAGCGGUGAAAUGCGUAGAUAUAUGGAGGAACACCGGUGGCGAAAGCGGCUCUCUGGUCUGUAACUGACGCUGAGGCUCGAAAGCGUGGGGAGCGAACAGGAUUAGAGACCCCCGUAGUCCCUGUCUCUUAUACA